AGGAGGUUGGCUUAGAAGCAGCCACCCUUUAAAGAAAGCGUAAUAGCUCACUAGUCGAGUCGGCCUGCGCGGAAGAUGUAACGGGGCUAAACGUAUAACCGAAGCUGCGGAUGCGUGCUUGCACGCAUGGUAGAGGAGCGUUCUGUACGCCUGCGAAGGUGAACUGAGAAGUUUGCUGGAGGUAUCAGAAGUGCGAAUGCUGACAUGAGUAACGAUAAAGGGGGUGAGAGGCCCCCUCGCCGAAAAUCCAAGGUUUCCUGCUCAACGCUAAUCGGAGCAGGGUGAGUCGGUCCCUAAGGCGAGGCAGAAAUGCGUAGUCGAUGGAAAACGGGUUAAUAUUCCCGUACCGGUUGUUACUGCGAUGGGAUGACGGAGAAGGUUAGGUUAGCCAACUGUUGGAUAUGUUGGUUUAAAUGUGUAGGCGUGUGCUAUAGGCAAAUCCGUAGCGCUUAGCUGAGGCAUGAUGACGAGUUCCAUUAGGAACGAAGUAACUGAUACCAGGCUUCCAGGAAAAGUCUCUAAGCUUCAGGUAAUAACUGUCCGUACCCCAAACCGACACAGGUGGAUGG
rnacentral:rRNA from 1 species